UAGGAUUUGGAGUGAGAGCUCUCGUUUCCCUCGCUCACAAAAAAAACUCACGGGUUCCACUCUCUUCCCUCCUCUUCUUCGCGGUUCAGCGCCUCCACCAGCACCAGUCGUGCCCUCUUGUUCCACCAGCAGUGGCAGCCACUCUCCCCCCCCCCCCCCCACGAAGCAGCAGCCGGUUGCAGGAGCCACAACGCUCCCCCCAAACAGUAGUCGUAGUUGCGUUUACAGCCACCUGCAGCAGCGGCUGCCUGCACAGCCACCAAGGUCCACAACCACUUGUAGCCUCGUGUCACCAACACUACACUAACCACUUUCCUCUUCACCUUUUCUCUUGUUUCACCUUUCAGGAGAUCAUAGACUGGCGUACUAGGUAUUUGGAGCAUGUUUUGCAUUGCUUUGGGAGAUUGUGGAGUUCGAAGCAUAACUCGUUAUGCAAGUGUCUUUUUGACUUUGUUGUUCUUAUGUCUUUUGCAAACUUUGACUAUAUAUAUUUUUGAUAUGAGGCCUUGUGUCCUCAUUUGUAUUAUUUAUAUUUUUCGCUGCGUAGGUUAUGGAUUUUUAUGGUUUUAAAGUAUUUUAUUAUUUUAUUAUUUUUUUAAACUCAAGCGUCGACACCGGAAUCACGAUCUAGGCUUGUCAUGAUGAUUUGAGGAGUCGGCGAUGAAUCAGUUCGUCAUGGUAUGAGAUUUUUAAGGCGAUGAUGCCUAGGAUGAGUUUAGUUAUUUUAUUGUGUUUUAUCUUCCAUCAAGUCUUCAGUUUUAGACGAAAUGUUGCCAAAUUUUCCACUCAUAUUCUUAAUGUAUAUUAUUAUUUUAAUUAUUUUAAUGUAACACCCGAAUUUCCUCCCGUUCUUUGCGGUUUUAGUUCCGUGUAAGGGGUCGGAAAUUCAGGGGUGUUAGAAGGAGUUAUGCUUGUGAGAUGAGUAAGGUCGUAGUCAUGGGUAAUAUAAGCACCGAAAGCUUUUGAGUUUGUCACAAUAAGGGGGUUUUAGAAAAGAGAAUUGUAGGGAGAAUUAUAGCCAAGAAACAGAGCGGGUUUCUGUUAACUAUGGGAAUGAUUCAACUCCAGCUCAAGCUCACAUGAACACGAGGUCUAUAAGGAUUGAUGAUAUGGCACGUAAAGAUUAGCUUCAAGAAGAUCAGCUUACAACGUUAGCAGCACACUGCUUGUCUUAUAUUUCUACGCUUAUGUAUAGAAAGUUGUUAGGGAGUUUUAGUCUUUUCUGUUCUGGCAACCAAGUUUGUUAUGAGUUAGUUAUAAGAAACUUGUCUUGCUUCUGAUCUCAGUGUAUAUAUAGGUGUUCCUUACAGCCUUUGUAAUUGUCUUGAAUUCAUUAAUAAAAAAUCUGUCUCUCAAGUGUUAA